GACAAUUUUGGUACUAAUUAAUCAUCCUACCCUUUGUGAAUUUGUUUGUAAGAAUUUUUUAAAUGGGUCUUUCCCUAAGUUGGAUUGUAGUAAAAUACAAAAAGACUUAGGGAAUGAUUUUUAAAGACUUUUUUUUAAUUAAACUUUUGUUUCAUUUGUCUAAAAUUUAUUUAUAAUAUAAAAACAACUUUUGACAAUGGAUCUCUUGGUUCUCGCAACGAUGAAGAACGCAGCAAAAUGCGAUAAGUAGUGUGAUUGCAGAAUACGUGAAUCAUCGAACUUCGAACGCAUAUUGCACUUUUUUAGUUACUAAAAAGAAUGUCUGUUUGAGUAUCAGUAAAUAUUCUCAAACAUAUAUUGUUUGUGGUAUGAGUGUUUACAACGAUAAACAAGUUGUUUCACUUAAAUUCUUUUGUAAGUUUUACUACCAUUACAAAUUUAAAUUGGAUAAAUUUUCCUUUAACGAGGAAUAACCUAAACAAUUUUAAAUUUUUGGUUCGUAAUCCAUAAAGGAAUAUACAUAAAUAAUUGAUCUCAAAUCAGAUAAGAGUACCCGCUGAACUAAGCAUAUCAUAAGCGGAGGAAAAGAACUAACAAGGAUUCCUUAGUACGGCGAGUGAAGCGGGAAAGCUCAAAUUUGAAUCUUCAAGGUUUGACCUUGACGAAUUGUAGUUAUAGAAGUUUUCUGUUGGAGUUUUGGUAAAGUUCUUGGAAUAGGACAUCAUAGAGGUGAGAAUCCCGUAUUGACCAUGACUUCACUGUGUGAUACACUUCAAAGAUCGGAUUGUUGGAAUGCAGUCCAAAAUGGGUGGUAAAUUUCAUCUAAAGCUAAAUAUUGGCGAGAGACCGAUAGCGAAAGUAUCGUGAGGGAAAGAUGAAAGAACUUUGAAAAGAGAGUUAAACAGUACGUGAAAUUGUCAAAAGGAAGCGUUUGACACCAUGUUGUUUUCUCGAAAAUCAAUUUAAUGAGUUCUUGUUUUUAGUUUUGUGACUUAUCAGCGCAUUCUUAUUUACUGACUCAUGAAUGCACUUUUCGUUUAACAAGUCAACAUCAAUUUCUUUGGUGGUAAAAGUUAAAGGAAGUGCUUGGACUUCGGUUCAAGUUUAUAGCCUUUUUUCUAUGCCAUCGGAAGAUUGAGGUCUGCAGCGUAGAUCCUCGGGUAGAUACUUUGUGCUAAGUUAUGUUUUUAUAGACAACUUGUUGACUAAAUUAACCCUGUAAUUACUCGCUUAGGCUAUUUUACCUACGCUUAGGAUGUGAG
rnacentral:misc_RNA from 1 species